rnacentral:rRNA from 1 species
ACAUCGACAUCUCGAACGC